rnacentral:rRNA from 1 species
GAUGAACGCUGGCGGCGUGCCUAAUACAUGCAAGUCGAGCGAACGGACGAGAAGCUUGCUUCUCUGAUGUUAGUGGCGGACGGGUGAGUAACACGUGGAUAACCUACCUAUAAGACUGGGAUAACUUCGGGAAACCGGAGCUAAUACCGGAUAAUAUUUUGAACCGCAUGGUUCAAAAGUGAAAGACGGUCUUGCUGUCACUUAUAGAUGGAUCCGCGCUGCAUUAGCUAGUUGGUAAGGUAACGGCUUACCAAGGCAACGAUGCAUAGCCGACCUGAGAGGGUGAUCGGCCACACUGGAACUGAGACACGGUCCAGACUCCUACGGGAGGCAGCAGUAGGGAAUCUUCCGCAAUGGGCGAAAGCCUGACGGAGCAACGCCGCGUGAGUGAUGAAGGUCUUCGGAUCGUAAAACUCUGUUAUUAGGGAAGAACAUAUGUGUAAUUAACUGUGCACAUCUUGACGGUACCUAAUCAGAAAGCCACGGCUAACUACGUG